GCUCCUUCGGCGCUCGUUUCGCCAUUGGUUAGCACCCCCCCAAAAAACUUUGCUGGAUCCAUCACUGGACCUCUCUGCUCCCGCCCGCACUAAAUGCCUGCUGAUUCCAUACUGGAAGCAAGUGCAAAGGGGGCCAGUGCACCCACCUCAUGCCACAUGUGGGCGUGCCACAUGUCAUCCCAUACUGCAUUGUUCCAGAAAAGAACCACCCUGCACCCAAGGAUGAAAUUUCUGCCUUCUGGGAGGACAAAAAAUUGUUUCUGAUAACAGCAAGUGUAUCCAGACAUGCAUAUUUAGGCAAGUUAACAAAGUUUAUA